rnacentral:rRNA from 1 species
UACGUAGGGGCUAGCGUUAUCCGGAAUUACUGGACGUAAAGGGAGCGUAGGCGGACUUUUAAGUGAGAUGUGAAAUACCCGGGCUCAACUUGGGUGCUGCAUUUCAAACUGGAAGUCUAGAGUGCAGGAGAGGAGAAUGGAAUUCCUAGUGUAGCGGUGAAAUGCGUAGAGAUUAGGAAGAACACCAGUGGCGAAGGCGAUUCUCUGGACUGUAACUGACGCUGAGGCUCGAAAGCGUGGGGAGCAAACAGGAUUAGAUACCCCCGUAGUCCCU